AAGACGUAUGGCCACCCAUGCCGAGCUGCCCCACAACAAAAAAGCAAACAAGCCUAAUGGUACUUGGCCACGAUGUCUUCGGUUGGGGCGACCGCGGAGGAAAACCUAGCCUCCAUGUGGACCGGGGGGACUAUUACUACCCCUAAAGCCAAGAGACACACCUCUAAGCAACAGAACAUCUGACCAAAAAUGAUCCGGGCCAAAGCCCGAUCAACGAACCAAGUUACCCC
rnacentral:rRNA from 1 species